CCUACGGGUGGCAGCAGUCGAGAAUCAUUCACAAUGGGGGAAACCCUGAUGGUGCGACGCCGCGUGGGGGAAUGAAGGUCUUCGGAUUGUAAACCCCUGUCAUGUGGGAGCAAAUUAAAAAGAUAGUACCACAAGAGGAAGAGACGGCUAACUCUGUGCCAGCAGCCGCGGUACUACAGAGGUCUCAAGCGUUGUUCGGAAUCACUGGGCGUAAAGCGAGCGUAGGCUGUUUCGUAAGUCGUGUGUGAAAGGCGCGGGCUCAACCCGCGGACGGCACAUGAUACUGCGAGGCUAGAGUAUUGGAGAGGGGACCGGAAUGCUCGGUGUAGCAGUGAAAUGCGUAGAUAUCGAGAGGAACACUCGUGGCGAAGGCGGGUUCCUGGACGUUAACUGACGCUGAGGCACGAAGGCCAGGGGAGCGAAAGGGAUUAGAUACCCCAGUAGUC
rnacentral:rRNA from 1 species